UGGGGGAUAUUGCACAAUGGGCGAAAGCCUGAUGCAGCGACGCCGCGUGGGGGAUGAAGGCUUUCGGGUUGUAAACCUCUUUCGCUAUCGAACAAGGCCCGCUUAGGGUGGGUUGAGGGUAGGUGGAGAAGAAGCGCCGGCUAACUACGUGCCAGCAGCCGCGGUAAUACGUAGGGCGCGAGCGUUGUCCGGAAUUAUUUGGCGUAAAGGGCUUGUAGGCGGCUUGUUGCGCCUGCUGUGAAAACGCGGGGCUUAACUUCGAGCGUGCAGUGGGGACGGGCAGGCUUGAGUGUGGUAGGGGUGACUGGAAUUCCAGGUGUAGAGGUGGAAUGCGCAGAUAUCUGGAGGAACACCGAUGGCGAAGGCAGGGCACUGGGCCAUUACUGACGCUGAGGAGCGAAAGCAUGGGUAGAGAACAGG
rnacentral:rRNA from 1 species